rnacentral:rRNA from 1 species
AGGACGAACGCUGGCGGCGUGCCUAAUGCAUGCAAGUCGCACGCAGAGUGCUUGCACUCUGAGUGGCGCACGGCUGAGGAUCACGUGGGAACAUGCCUCCUUGUGGGGGACAACCCCGCGAAAGCGGGGCUAAUCCCGCAUACGCUCGGCAACGAGGAAAGCGUGUAAACGCGCAGGGAGAGUGGCCCGCGGCCCAUCAGGUUGUUGGUGGGGUAAUGGCCUACCAAGCCGGUGACGGGUAGCUGGUCUGUGAGGACAGACAGCCAGACUGGGACUGAGACACGGCCCAGACUCCUACGGGAGGCAGCAGCAAAGGAAUUUCGUCAAUGGGCGCAAGCCUGAACGAGCAACGCCGCGUGGAGAUGACGGCCUUGGUUGUAAACUCCGUUUUCGGGACGAUGAGUGACGGAACCCGGAAUAAGGCUCGGCUAACUCUGCGCCACGACGCCGACGUACGUACUCGAGCGGCGGUACGGCGAACGGACGGC